UACGUAGGGUGCGAGCGUUAAUCGGAAUUACUGGGCGUAAAGAGUGCGUAGGCGGUUCUUGAAGUCCGCUGUGAAAGCCCCGGGCUUAACCUGGGAAUGGCAGUGGAAACUGGGGGACUUGAAUUGAGCAGAGGGGGGUGGAAUGCCGCGUGUAGCAGUGAAAUGCGUAGAGAUGCGGCGGAACACCGAUGGCGAAGGCACUUUACUGGGCUAUUACUAACACUCAGAGACGAAAGCUAGGGUAGCAAAUGGG
rnacentral:rRNA from 1 species